GGAAAACUUCCCAAGCCCUGAGGAGAUCUGUGGACAGGAAGAAAGGAGAAUGCUUCUUAUGCUUUCAUCUUGAGAGUUCCCCAGCUGUCCAUCCUCACCCAUCUUCUCUUGGCCUGUCUGAACUCUGACCAAGAAGUUCUACAAAGAUCAGAUAAGGCAUACAGCAAGGAUUUCUUAGUUUGGAAAAGAAGCUAGAAGGUGGUACUUACAAGAAACACUACACCAUAGUUCUGGGAACUGACCACCACCAGCACCUCAUCAUCAUACCCAGGCUCUGAAUUUAGAUUAUACCUGCUAGAAUUACGCUGUCCAACAUUGUAGCCACCAGCCACAUGUGGCUUUGGAGCACUUGAAAUGAGAAAAUUCAGGGAGAAGAUAAAUGUGAAGGAGCCAGAUUGUGCAAGAGAGACUAAGAUAAACAACAGAUUCUAACACAAGUUACCACAGCAAGUGGAACAGGUAGUUCAACUUAAAAGUUAUAUCCUCCACACCAUAAAUACAUCUAACCUCUCAACAUCGAGAUACUUAUAUUAUAUUCUAUAUAAUAAAAGCCUAAGCGACCAUUAUGGCGGAACGACCAGAACAACUGGUUGCUGUGAUGCACACUGACCACCAGGGGACAGAUGCUCAAUGCAGGACACUCCACAGGGGAAGCACUGCUCAGCCAGAAGCUGGGCUCAUGGCUGAAGGAAGACCACACCAGGAGAAAGAAGGCAUAGGAGGACUGAGUGCUGCCUACCAGUCUGGUGGGCUAUCAAUAGUUUUCCUAGAGCAUGUUCAUUAAUAGAAAAUGGAGGGAAAAUGUAUGGUAAACAGAAAUCUGCAAACCCAAAUGUGUAAGUAAAUUGGUGAUUAUGAAGAUGAAUCAACUCUUAUAACCCAGAUUCCUUAGCUGUCAAAAUCUGAGGAUAAAGAAACUCAAAGAAACACCAAGCAUGUAGCAAAACUAUACACUAAAUCAUUUCUGCAUCAUGUCCACAGCCACACAGGCUAACGUUUUCUAUCCUGAUGGCCCCUUCUUAGGUGAUGAUUUUUCACAA